rnacentral:rRNA from 1 species
AUGGACAUCAACGCGGACUACGCAGUGGCGACGCUGCUCCGCUCCUGCCCGGCGAUGUCGGAGCUCCGGCUGAGGCUAAACAUGGCAUACGACUACGACUACGAUCGGCAGAUGCAGGCACCACCCGGGGGGCCCUUCGCCCAGUCCGUGGAGAGAUUCAAUAGGCUCGCGCCCAUGUGCUCCGAGCAUCGCGACGACGUGGAGUUCGGCGGGGUCUCGGAGCUUGCGGACGCCUUCACCGACGACUGCGAGUUCAGCUGCCUGACGACGAGCCUGCGGAAGGUGACGCUGCAGUUCAAGUCCAAGGAGCUCAACUGCUUCCAGGUGCCGCUGGCCAAGUUCCUGGUGGAGAACGCCAUGGUGCUCGAGGAGAUGCACAUCGAGGAUGGGAGCCAAUUCUGGCCGGACCACCUCUGCCACAAGGUCGCGAGAUGGAGAUCCGAUGCGCUCCGGAGGAGGGACCUGCCGGAUACGGCCGGCUUUCGCGUGUACCAGCUCGAUCGCUAA